CCGGCCAAUGGGCUGUAAGCUGAGUCAGCGCUGGGGCCUCUCCGGGGCUGGGGGGAGCUGCCCCUGAGGAAUAUGAUCUGGAUACUAUUUUAGCUCUGCUGGCAUGAAGACAUUCUACCGCAAACAGAAACAAGGAAGUCUUCACAGAAGUAAAGAGAUUCCUUUCUGUGGGCUGGGGAAGACUACCCAGGAACAGCUUCAUCAGAUUCCAGAAUUUGCGAGAUUCUGCCUGUGUGAAGUGUUCCUAAAAUCAAGAACUUUGCUUCAAAAUGCAUGAGAACUAUGUAUCCUAUUAGCUGAGCUUUUUUGUGAUGCAGUUAAUAACCCC